CAUGAUAUCACAAUCAAUACACUUUAUAAAUGGGUACGUAUAACAAAUUCAUGACAUUUGGACAUAGAUAUAGAUUGUAAUGCCAGAAAAUUCUGUCUCAUUUCCACUUAUAUUAGUAUGCAUCUUAUGAAUCAAUAAAUAAUUGAAAAGAGCACCAAAUAAUGAUAUACAGUUGUUUGCGUAAAAAACUGACCAAAAUUCAUGGAUGAAACACCCAUCAAUUAUGCUGCACACAUAUAAGUGGGUUUACACUUGUGCAAGCAAGGAGACUUGUUUUAUUGUCCAUCUCACCUUGAAAUAUUGUAUUCAAAGAUGCAUAUGAAAAUUUCCAGAAUUAAUAACCCAUUAAAUCAAAAACAGAUGACAAAAUGUAAUUACUUUACUGAAAAGAACCUUAUAAAUCAUGAUAAUCUUUUUACAUUAAGAAGUUCAGGAAUCAAGUUAUUACAUAUCAGCCUGCACAUUUACUAAAACGGAGAAAUAGAAAGAGAAAGAGAUAGAAAUAGAUG
rnacentral:misc_RNA from 1 species